UACGGGAGGCAGCAGUGGGGAAUAUUGGGCAAUGGGCGAAAGCCUGACCCAGCAACGCCGCGUGAAGGAUGACGGUCUUCGGAUUGUAAACUUCUUUAAUUGGGGAAGAAUAAAUGACCUACCGAAAGAAUAAGUCACGGCUAACUACGUGCCAGCAGCCGCGGUAAUA
rnacentral:rRNA from 1 species